AAAUUAGAGAUGCCUAGAGUCUGCGAUAUUUUCCUUUUGAUAUCCAAAGUCGUGUUAGAGCUGAAGGCCAAGGCAGAUUUAUUGUAAUUAGCAAAUUGACCACUCACAUCUGCAUAACUUUGAAGAAUUUGCUUGAUCCCUGAAUUGAAGACUGUUUGAGCUUAUGAGAUAAGCCCUCCACACAUAAAAGAAAGAGAUAAA
rnacentral:misc_RNA from 1 species